UCACACUAUCCAGCCUUCCCGACGGCGGCUGUUUGCAAGAAAAAUAGGGUUUCAGUGGUGGCAGUUUUACCUCCACUCACGCUGCCAUCGCCUCCGAGCCCCACUCCCCGAUCCAGACAACCACCCCGCCCAGAUCUGGAUCCACCUAGCGCAGCACGGCCGUGGCUACCAGAUCUCACAGCCUCCGCUUCUGCUUUCUUUUAUGCAGGCGGCGGCGGGGGAGAGGGAGCUGCCGAGCAACGGGUCGCCGCCGGUGGUGGAUGAUGCCGGCGUCCAGGUCGCGGCCGUACUACGGAAGCGGUCGUUCCGGACGAUUCAGCACAGCAAGAUCCGCACGCGCAGGGCCUCCGCGACCGCCGGAUGCGGCUCUCGGUCGGGGUCGCGCGAGAGUUCUUGGCGCUGCAGGACCGCCUCGGGUUCGACAAGGCCAGCAAGACCCUGAACUGGCUCCUCGCCCAGUCCAAGCCGCCCAUCGACUGCCUCGUCGACGCCGCCGACCAGGUGGCUGUAGUCACUGGAGGACGACCGACGCUGGUGAAGGGGAGAGAGCAGGGGAGCAACUCAAGCACUUGCUGUUUGACAGACUUGAGGUAGGAGCUAGCCACGGAAAGGGAAGAAGAAGAGGCAGUGAUGACGGUUUUGAUUGGCCACCGCCUCUUAUUGAAGAACACAGCUGGGACUUCGCGCAGGGCUGGAGUGCUACUUCCAGUAUUGCUUGCAGGUCGAGGAGUUGAUGAGAUGCAACGGCCGAAUGCCAAGGUGAUUACUUGUAUGCUAUGCAAACAUGCAUAAAACAUUGUAUAUAGGUGAUUCCCAUUACGUAAUUAGGCUAUAUGGUUGGUUGCUAGCUACACAGUACAAAUAAAUCAACUGGGUUCUCUAUAAAUCAAUAGUCAUGAGCCUGGGGUUGUGUUAUCCACUUUUGGUUAAUGGCAAGUAAUAAUCUUAUCAUAAUUAGCUAGUGUUGUUUA